GGGGAAUAUUGGACAAUGGGCGCAAGCCUGAUCCAGCCAUGCCGCGUGGGUGAAGAAGGCCUUCGGGUUGUAAAGCCCUUUUGUUGGGAAAGAAAAGCAACCGGCCAAUACCCGGUUGUGUUGACGUUACCAACAGAAUAAGCACUGGCUAACUUCGUGCCAGCAGCCGCGGUAAUACGAAGGGUGCAAGCGUUAAUCGGAAUUACUGGGCGUAAAGCGCGCGUAGGUGGUUCGUUAAGUUGGAUGUGAAAGCCCCGGGCUCAACCUGGGAACUGCAUCCAUAACUGCCUGACUAGAGUACGGUAGAGGGUGGUGGAAUUUCCUGUGUAGCGGUGAAAUGCGUAGAUAUAGGAAGGAACACCAGUGGCGAAGGCGACCACCUGGACUGAUACUGACACUGAGGUGCGAAAGCGUGGGGAGCAAACA
rnacentral:rRNA from 1 species